UACGUAGGGCGCAAGCGUUGUCCGGAAUUAUUGGGCGUAAAGAGCUCGUAGGCGGUCUGUCGCGUCCGUUGUGAAAACUCGAGGCUCAACCUCGGGCUUGCAGUGGAUACGGGCAGACUAGAGUGCGGUAGGGGAGACUGGAAUUCCUGGUGUAGCGGUGAAAUGCGCAGAUAUCAGGAGGAACACCGAGUGGCGAAGGCAGGUCUCUGGGCAUUAACUGACGCUGAGGAGCGAAAGCAUGGGGAGCGAACAGG
rnacentral:rRNA from 1 species